GGGGAAGAGGAGGAAGAAGGAGAAGGGGAAGAGAAGGAAGAAGAGAAGGAAGAGAAAGGAGAAGGGGAAGAAGGGGAAAGGGAAGAAGAAGAAGAAGAGGGAGAAGGGGAAGAAGGGAGAAGAGGAAGAAGAAGAAGAUCAUCAGUUUUUGCAACUUGGCCGUCAUAAAUCUGACCCGGUGGGGGCUCCCCUCGCCUCCCCCCUCCCUCCUUGCAAUUCAGUUGAGACCUUUGAGGUUGUUUGCCUGCACAAAUGCACGGCCCCUCCCCCAACUAACAAACCAACCCCGUGGCCCACCGACCAAAACAGGGUUCCCCCAUUUCCCCCCCCCCCCCCCCCCCGAUAGCCGCCCAACUUCCAGCGGCCGAUGGCUGAGGGUAAGGAGGUGGCAUCAAAUCCUACAUGGUUUUCCUCCAGCAGUUGGAAUACAACAAUCGCAGCAGCCCUAACAACCCUAGGACGGAUUUGGGGACAGCCUUAAAAAAAAGAAAAUAAAAAUACACUUCGGAGCCCUUUCAGAAAGCUGGCUGGGAAUGGGGGACUCCGUGGGGUUGCAGAGGAGAACACCGAGUGGCAUUGAAUGGCAUGAAGGGGAUUUCAGAGAGGGGCAAAGGUCAUUGGGCCCCACUGAAACCAUCCGUAGCCCCAAAGGCUUACAGGGGCCCUGAUGCGAGUUCUGUCUAAAAGCUUAGCUAUUCCAGGGAACCAGGGUUAUAGUCAACUCCACUUCUCUUAUUCCUUUCUCUGUAAAUAGAACCACCAGGAUUCUCCAGCUUGAGCAGAGGGUUGGACUAGAAGACCUCGGAGGUCCCUUCCAACUCUCUUAUUCUUAAAGAGAGGACCAACCUAAAACUAAGGAGAGAUUUCCUGACGGAAAUAUUAAUCGGCGGAACGGCUUGUCUCCAAAACUUGUGGGUGCUCCCAUCACUGGAGCUUUUUAAGAAGAGAUUGGACAACCCUUUGUCCAGAAUGGCACAUGGUCUCCUGUUUGAGCAGGGGCUGGACUAGAAGACCUUCAAAGUCCCUUUCAACCAGAGAUGGGAUAAGCAUUUGAAGAAGGUAAACAGGCUUUGCCCUCAGAGAAACAGGGACUGCCUCCGUUUGCAAUAUUACCUCUCGAGAACCCUUGGGGAGGUGAGGGACAGAGAAAGUUUGCUAAGCCAGGAUGAUGAUUAAGCUCUUUAAAAGAUGUGGUUGCAGUUUGGAAGGAAAGAAAUCAGCAAAAAGAAAAAAGAAAAAAACCACCAAAUUACGGCAGCACUAAAACAAUGUUAAGAGCAGAGACCGGUUUAGGGAGAUUAUUUUAAUCUCACACGGGAGAUGAUAUAAACAAUUUAAGUCUGAAGGUCGGCUUCCCAUUGGCCACUGCUGCUGUAGGCCACAUUUAUGGGGGAUUAGCUUCUGUCUGAACCUGUUGGAAAAACUACUGGAACUGAACAGCGGGAGCAACAAUUUCACUACUUUUGGUCACUUUUAGGGGUGAAUUCUCACGCCAAACUCUCACUCCUCGGAACUAGAGGGCAAAUCCUUCCAGCCCACACCAAAAACAGUGUCAAAAUCACCAAAUGGUAGAACAAUAUAAUCCCACCCAAGGCAGGAGAACUCUUAGACUAUUACUGGCUGGGAACAUUUAAGUGCAGGUAAAGUUGUAGUUUGCUACCUGUUCACAUAAAACACACCAAAAGGUAAUUUAACAACCCUUUGACUGGAAUAGUCUCCUGCCUUGAGCAGGGGGUUGGACUGGAGGAUCUCGGAGAUUCCUUCCAGCCCUAGUAUUCUACAACAAAGUGCAACCUUUUUGUUUCAUCGCUCUACUAUAUGGCUUCUUCCAAGACAUUGGAAGCUGAGUUGGUCAUACCUGGCUCAAGCGUUCCUUUUCUCUGCGUAAACCCAGCCUUCUUCCCCACUCCACAACCGGCAGCAAGCACCCUCACAAUCCGAGGCAACGACUGCAGGGAAAGUCUCCAUCUAAGGGCCUCCCAAUAAAUGGGCUGACUUCCUCCCAUGAAGGAAGCUACAGCUGCGGUUUUCUCUUCCGUAUCCUUUGGAGAUGAUCCUGAAAGGAAAGAGAGCCUCCUGAACCUGAAGGCUGCCGUGUGGAGCUGUGUCGCAACUGAACAUCAGCCCUUCGGUGUCUUCUGCGCUGCAUCGACCAUCCCCAAUCUGGGUUUUCUUGGCCCCUUCGUUUUGUGGAAUUAGUUUGCUAUCAACUUUUCCCACCAAGUUUCCCCCCCGCCCCCCAGUAAUUUAGUCAAACCAACAGACCUGAAAUUGUGCGGUUGUCUAAUCCAAUAAUUAACAAGGUUAAUUAUUGCAUUAGGUCUCAAAGGUCUGAACCCAAAUAAGAUCACCUGGAGCCUGGAAUUUGCAGAAGCAUUCUUGUCGGUAUUUUAUCCUAAACAGUUUUAGAAUUCGUGUGUGAAUAGUUACUGUUAACGUGCUUUGCGUCACACUUUUUUCCCCAUAAAAUCAAGGUAAUUUAGGUCUCCCAAAGGUGAUUUUUCAAGAGGCGACUGGGCUUUCUGGUUUUCCUUGAACCGAAGAAGCUCCUUGGAUGAGAAGCGAAACGUCCUCAAGGAAAAACCAAGAAAGUCCAGUUGCCUCUUGAAAAAGCUCCUUUGGGACAGCCGUGACCUGGAUGACUGAGAAGCUCCAUAGAUGACAAUUGAGGUAGCUAUUGAUUGGUUCUAUGCCUUCAAAUCAUUUCCAGAACAGAAUAACAGAUUUGGAAGGGUCCUUGUAAGUCAGGGGUAUCAAACUCUACCAAGAGCCUUGGUAGUACAGUGGUCUAAGGCACCCUGUUAUUAAGCUGGUUAUUAAGACCAGCUGCCUGCAAUUACUGCAGGUUCGAAUCUCGCCAAGGCUCAAGGUCCAGUCAGCCUUCCAUCCUUUCUAAGGUAGGUAAAUUGAGGACCCAGUUUGUGGGGGCAAUAAACUGACUUUGUAUAAAUAUACAAAAGGAUGAAGGCUAUUGCUUAACGCAUUGUAAGCCGCCCUGAGUCUCCGGAGAAGGGCGGCAUUAUAAAUCAAAUUAAAAAAAAAAAAAAAACUCAAGGCCUGUGGCUCGAAUACAGCCUGCAACAUAGUUGGAAUCCGGCCUGCAGGGCUGUCCUGGUCUACCCAGUGCAAAGAGGAAACAUGCCAGCAGUUUGGGGAGUGAUGUGAAGUUGGCCACACCCACCCAGUUGGCCACACCCAGCCAGUCAGCCACGCCCCUCCGAGGUCAACCACAGUCCUGAUGUGGCCCUCAAUGAAAUUGAGUUUGACACCCCUGUUGUAGGCCAUUUUUUAAAAAGUUUUUUAUUUUUAAACAAACAAUUCAUCAUUAAUCCAUCAGGGUAACAUCUGGGUAAAAAAAUAUUUUUGUGUCAACAUGUUCAACAUUUAUCAUCAUUUUCUUAAUGCAUAUUUAUCUUUCCUCUUAUAUUUAAAUUUAAUGUAUUACAACAUAUUUUCCCCAUAUUUCUUAUUUUUACAUUGCCUAUUGUCUAUAUUCGGUCUCUAUCCAUUGAUAAAAUUGUCUCCAUAUGUUGUAAUACUCCGAUUCUUCCUUCCCUUUAAUUGCUAAUGUUAAUCUACUCAUUUCUGCACAUUCUACUAUUUUCUUAAUUGCCUCUG